rnacentral:rRNA from 1 species
UACAGAGGUCCCAAGCGCUGUUCGGAUUCAUUGGGCGUAAAGGGUGCGUAGGUGGCGCUGUAAGUCGGGUGUGAAAUUUCGGAGCUCAACUCCGAAACUGCAUUCGAUACUGCGGUGCUUGAGGACUGGAGAGGAGACUGGAAUUCAUGGUGUAGCAGUGAAAUGCGUAGAGAUCAUGAGGAAGACCAGUGGCGAAGGCGGGUCUCUGGACAGUUCCUGACACUGAGGCACGAAGGCCAGGGGAGCAAACGGG